rnacentral:misc_RNA from 1 species
CCUUUUCUUUUCUUUUUUUUUCCUUCUYYGKNGUCCCGCCCGGAUAGCUUGAGGGUCACCGUCGGCGUCGGGGNGCGCCAAAAACCCCUUCGGCAUUUGGCCACGGCGUCGGGCUCGGAAAGAGCUUUCCGGAAAGAACUCACGGCCCCCCGGAGUCCAUCGGGAUCGAAAGUUAAGCACGUGAACGCAGAAACGCGCGGAUUGCGUUUAUUGAGAAAUUUUCUUUUUUCGUAUUUCGUCGUACAUAAGUAACAUCGCGUUAAGUGCGCGACGGGUCCUUUAGAGCGAGAAGUUGAACGCUCCGGACAUUUCUCGAGGGGAGAAAGCGAUUCGCUUCAAGUAAAUAUGCAAUGSCCACAUGAC